rnacentral:rRNA from 1 species
CCCGCUGAACUUAAGCAUAUUAUUAAGCGGAGGAAAAGAAACUAACAAGGAUGCCCUCAGUAACGGCGAGUGAAGCGGGCAAAGCUCAACCUGAAAAUCGGGUUCCCAAACGGGAUCUCGAAUUGUGGGCUAGAGACGCGUGAUCAGUGUGUGACCUAGGUAUAAAUCUUUUGAAACAAGGUAUCAUAGAGGGUGAGAAUCCCGUCUGUGACCUGGAGUUCGCCGCGUACGAUCCGUGUUCGCAGAGUCGAGUUGUUUGGGAUUGCAGCUCUAAAUGGGUGGUAAAUUUCAUCUAAAGCUAAAUAUCGACGAGAGACCGAUAGCGAACAAGUACCGUGAGGGAAAGAUGAAAAGAACUUUGAAAAGAGAGUUAAAAAGUACUUGAAAUUGCUAAGAGGGAAGCACUGGAAACCAGUCGUGACUCGCAUGUAUCUUAUCAGUCGUUCCUGGAUUCAAGUAUGGAGAAGAGCCCAAAGCCUUCUUCAGAUUUGAUGAAAGUGCGGCUGUGCACUAUCGUGUGAGUCGGAUCAGAAUCAAUUUGAUCCGUGAGAGAAAGCUAUGGCAACGGUAGGACCGAGGGAGCAAUCCUGAGGUCUGUUUAGUGCCGUAGUGCUAUCAUGGAUUGGAUUGAGGGACAAUCGAAACGCGCACCACUAGGUAAUCGCUUCUCCGACCCUAGGGCAUCAGGGGACUUGGACAACAAAGUUGUGCGGUCUCUGAAGUGCUCUACUGGAAGGAAUGAAGUAGACGCAGCGUUCGAGAUUCUGAUGAAAUGGUUUUCAUUGACCCGUCUUGAAACACGG